rnacentral:rRNA from 1 species
CUACGGGCGGCAGCAGUGAGGAAUAUUGCGCAAUGGGGGAAACCCUGACGCAGCGACGCCGCGUGGAUGAUGAAGGCCUUAGGGUCGUAAAAUCCUGUCAGGUGGGAAGAAGUGGAUAUAGAUUAAUACUCUAUUUCUUUGACGGUACCACCAAAGGAAGCACCGGCUAACUCCGUGCCAGCAGCCGCGGUAAUACGGAGGGUGCAGACGUUGUUCGGAAUUACUGGGCGUAAAGCGCGCGUAGGCGGUUUGUUAAGUCAGAUGUGAAAGUCCAGGGCUCAACUAUGGAAGUGCAUUUGAAACUGGCAGACUUGAGUACUGGAGGGGGUGAUGGAAUUCCCGGUGUAGAGGUGAAAUUCGUAGAUAUCGGGAGGAAUACCGGUGGCGAAGGCGAUCACCUGGCCAGAUACUGACGCUGAGGUGCGAAAGCGUGGGGAGCAAACAGGAUUAGAUACCCCUGUAGUC